GACGAGGUGGCCGAGUGGUUAUGGCGAUGGACUGCUAAUCCAUUGGGGUUUCCCCGCGUGGAGUUCGAAUCCCAUCCUCGUCG
rnacentral:tRNA from 1 species